GCUUUGUCAGCCUUAAUUACCCCCGUUCAUGAAUGAAUACCGGAUACACAAACAGCAAUUCAUUUGUACUUAACUUGGUGCAUAUGAUCAGCUGAUCCUAUGACACUCUUGGAUCCAGUUUGAAGAGUUAUGUCUGUUUGCCAGCAAAGAGACAUUAGCGCACUGUGUCUCUCCUUCCUGCUCCACAGGGACCCAUGUGGAACAGACAGGAUGAAGCAAGAGUAGUGCUUUUAUUUGGACAGUGACGUCACGGGAAGUCCGCUGUUACCCCUUUUUCCUGGUUGUGCUGGAAAUGAUGUACUGAGGAAAUGGCUGCCUCUAAAUCUCCAAAACAAUCUUUAACAACCAAGUGACAGAAGGGCAUCAAUAAAUCCUCCCCAAGACUGACUUCCUGGAUGCGCCCGUUUAAUCCUGACAAGCUUAUGGCAUAAGAGAGUCCUGUCCGGAAGAGUAGCACUUAGAAUUGUUGUCCGAGUGCCAAAAAGAAGCCCAACGGAUUUACUUUCACAAGUGGGGCAUUACAGCUAACGCUAUAAUGCUGUGGUUGAUAUACAGGUCCUUCUC